ACGAACGCUGGCGGCGUGCUUAACACAUGCCAGUCGAACGGAAAGGCCCUGCUUUUGUGGGGUGCUCGAGUGGCGAACGGGUGAGUAACACGUGAGUAACCUGCCCUUGACUUUGGGAUAACUUCAGGAAACUGGGGCUAAUACCGGAUAGGAGCUCCUGCUGCAUGGUGGGGGUUGGAAAGUUUCGGCGGUUGGGGAUGGACUCGCGGCUUAUCAGCUUGUUGGUGGGGUAGUGGCUUACCAAGGCUUUGACGGGUAGCCGGCCUGAGAGGGUGACCGGCCACAUUGGGACUGAGAUACGGCCCAGACUCCUACGGGAGGCAGCAGUGGGGAAUAUUGCACAAUGGGCGGAAGCCUGAUGCAGCAACGCCGCGUGCGGGAUGACGGCCUUCGGGUGGUAAACCGCUUUCGCCUGUGACGAAGCGUGAGUGACGGUAAUGGGUAAAGAAGCACCGGCUAACUACGG
rnacentral:rRNA from 1 species